UAUUGGGCUUCUGGUAGCAAUUCUAAGUAGUACAGCAUGUGAUUUCCAAAUUCCUGGCAGAGUGAAUUGCGUCAUGGGGCGGUUUUUCUCAUAGAUGGUGCCCAACUGAUCCUACUAUACUGUGUAGUCAACACAAUCAAAAACAAACAAUGCGCACAUGUGAAAU